rnacentral:rRNA from 1 species
GACGAACGCUGGCGGCGUGCCUAACACAUGCAAGUCGAACGAGAUCCAUGGGAGCUUGCUCCCGGAAGAUCUAGUGGCGAACGGGUGAGUAACACGUGAGAAACCUGCCCUGGAGUGGGGAAUAACUCGGGGGAAACUCGAGCUAAUACCGCAUACCCUCGGAUGGUCGCAUGGCCGACCGAGGAAAGAUUUAUCGGCUCUAGGAGGGUCUCGCGGCCUAUCAGCUAGUUGGUGGGGUAACGGCCUACCAAGGCAACGACGGGUAGCUGGUUUGAGAGAACGAUCAGCCACACUGGGACUGAGACACGGCCCAGACUCCUACGGGAGGCAGCAGUGGGGAAUCUUGCGCAAUGGGCGAAAGCCUGACGCAGCAACGCCGCGUGCGGGAUGACGGCCUUCGUGGUUGUAAACCGACUUUCAGCAGGCGAAAUGACGGUACCUGUCAGAAGAAGACCCC